ensembl:processed_transcript
CUCUCCACCCAGGGCAAGGGCAACAACAACAACCCUCCUAUACUCAAGCCGACUGACCUCAUCCCGUUCCACCCCCCCUCAUCCAAUCAGAAAUCUCACAUGCUCCAGGCCACGAUUUCCUAACCAGAAUCUGUAAGAGAGAUUCCAAGAACUUGGGAGAAGCAUAUUGUGUGAUGUUCUAUAUUUAUGAGACCCAUAGCAAACUGUGAAGAGAUAACAGAAUGCUUUUUGCGUGAGCUGAAACAGUAGAUGAAAUCUUUCAUUAAAAUUACUCGUACUUUGGGUCCUAUUCUUAUUUAUAAAUAAAUACUAUUGCAA